rnacentral:rRNA from 1 species
UAAGAUACAAAGGGCAUACGGAGGAUGCCUUGGCACAGAGAGGCGAAGAAGGACGCAGCUACCGGCGAAACGCCUCGGGGAGCGGGAAGCACGCAUUGAUCCGGGGAUUUCCGAAUGGGGUAACCCAUUCCGAGUAAUGUCGGAAUAUCCGAAAGGAGGCAAACCCAGUGAAUUGAAACAUCUUAGUAGCUGGAGGAAAAGAAAUCGAAUGAGAUUCCCUGAGUAGCGGCGAGCGAAAUGGGAAGAGCCCAAAUCCCGAUGCAAAGCAUCGGGAGGUUGUAGGACCUCAACAUACAAGCCAAUGAAUAGCAGAAAGGUUUUGGAAAAGCCUGCCAUAGAGGGUGAGAGCCCCGUAAGCGAAAUUCAGAGGGGAGUUAGAGGAAUCCUGAGUACUGCGGAACAAGUGAAAUUCUGUGGGAAUCUAGGCCGACCACGGUCUAAGGCUAAAUACUCCUCUGUGACCGAUAGUGAACUAGUACUGUGAAGGAAAGGUGAAAAGAACCCUUCAGAAGGGAGUGAAAAGAACCUGAAACCGUAUGCCUACAAACGGUGGGAGCAAAUUUCAGUUUUCGGACUGAAAGGAGUGACCGCGUGCCUUUUGCUUAAUGAGCCAACGAGUUGCUCGUUACGAGCGAGGGUAAGUCAUUCAGUGACGCACCCGUAGCGAAAGCAAGUCUGAAUAGGGCGAUAUAGUUCGUAGCGGCAGACGCGAAACCUUGUGAUCUAUCCAUGGCCAGGAUGAAGCGUAGGUAACACUACGUGGAGGUCCGAACCAGUGUGGGUUGAAAACCGCUUGGAUGAGCUGUGGAUAGGGGUGAAAGGCCAAUCAAACUGGGUUAUAGCUCGUACUCCCCGAAAUGUUUUUAGGAACAGCCUUGCAUUAGUGUUCCGGAGGUAGGGCUCUGAUAGGGCUAGGGCCGUUACAGCGGUACCAACCCCUGAUAAACUACAAAUUCCGGUUUCAUGAUGUGCAGGAGUGAGGCGGCGAGGGAUAAGCUUCGUUGCCGAGAGGGAAAGAACCCAGACCAACGACUAAGGUCCCCAAGUAAACGCUAACAGAUAAAGGAUGUUGCUCUGCUGAGACAGCCAGGAUGUUGGCUUAGAAGCAGCCAUUCAUUCAAAGAGUGCGUAAUAGCUCACUGGUCGAGCGGCGCAGCGCCGAUAAUAAUCGGGACUAAGCGUUUCACCGAAGUCAUGGACUCUAAGCAAUUAGAGUGGUAGGGGAGCAUUCUACAGGCGUCGAAGGUGUGGUGUGAGCCAUGCUGGAGCGUGUAGAAGAGCAAAUGUUGGCAUAAGUAACGAUAACGGAAGUGAGAAUCUUCCGCGCCGAAAACCUAAGGUUUCCUUGAGCUCUGUUCGUCAUCUCAGGGUUAGUCGGCUCCUAAGGCGAGGCCGAGAGGCGUAGCCGAUGGGAAUCAGGCCUUUUAAUAUUCCUGAACCACCAAAAUACUAAAAGUGACGCAGAUCUAAGCUUUGUUGGGGUAAAUGGCUAUCCCCGGCAAGGUUAAGUCUGCCAAGAAAAGCGAUUUUUGGUGACCGUACCGUAAACCGACACAGGUAGGUGGGUUGAGUAUACUCAGGCGCGCGAGUGAGCCGUGGUUAAGGAACUCGGCAAAUUAACCCCGUAACUUCGGGAGAAGGGGUGCCUCCGCAAGGAGGCCGCAGUGAAAUGGCCCAGGCGACUGUUUAACAAAAACACAUCUCUCUGCUAACACGUGAAGUGGAUGUAUAGGGAGUGACACCUGCCCGGUGCUGGAAGGUUAAGAGGAGAGGUUAGCCGCAAGGCAAAGCUUUGAAUCGAAGCCCCAGUAAACGGCGGCCGUAACUAUAACGGUCCUAAGGUAGCGAAAUUCCUUGUCGGGUAAGUUCCGACCUGCACGAAUGGUGUAACGAUCUGGGCACUGUCUCAACCACGGGCUCGGUGAACUUGUGGUUCCGGUGAAGACGCCGGAUACCCGCACAUGGACGGAAAGACCCCGUGCACCUUUACUAUAACUUACUAUUGAGUUCGGAUACAGCAUGCGUAGGAUAGGUGGGAGACUUCGAAGCCCGGGUUGCGGCUCGGGCAGAGUCAAUGGUGAAAUACCACCCUUGUUGUGUUUGAAUCCUAACCCGGAGGAGUGGAUCCUCGGGGACAGUGGUAGGCGGGUAGUUUGACUGGGGCGGUCGCCUCCUAAAUUGUAACGGAGGCUUACAAAGGUCACCUCAGCACGGUCGGUAAUCGUGCUUAGAGUGCAAAAGCAUAAGGUGGCUUGACUGUGAGACUUACAAGUCGAGCAGAUGCGAAAGCAGGUUUUAGUGAUCCGGCGGCUCUGUGUGGAAGGGCCGUCGCUCAAAGGAUAAAAGGUACGCCGGGGAUAACAGGCUGAUCUUGCCCAAGAGUUCACAUCGACGGCAAGGUUUGGCACCUCGAUGUCGGCUCAUCGCAUCCUGGGGCUGGAGAAGGUCCCAAGGGUUUGGCUGUUCGCCAAUUAAAGCGGUACGUGAGCUGGGUUCAGAACGUCGUGAGACAGUUCGGUCCCUAUCCUGUGCGGGCGGAGGACAUUUGCGGAGACCCGUCAUUAGUACGAGAGGACCGUGACGCCCGGACCUACGGUGUAUCUGUUGUUGCGCCAGCAGCAUUGCAGAGUAGCCAUGUCCGGAAAGGAUAAACGCUGAAAGCAUCUCAAGCGUGAAACCUACUCCAAGAUUAGAUGUCCCACAGCUUAAGCUGGUAAGGAUCCAGGUAGAUGACCUGGUCGAUAGGCUUCAGGUGGAAGUGUGGUAACAUACGUAGCCGAGAAGUACUAAUAAUCCGAGGGCUUACCGUU